rnacentral:rRNA from 1 species
CCUACGGGAGGCAGCAGUGGGGAAUAUUGGACAAUGGGCGAAAGCCUGAUCCAGCCAUGCCGCGUGUGUGAAGAAGGUCUUCGGGUUGUAAAGCACUUUCAGUGGGGAAGAAAGCCUUGGGGCUAAUACCCUCGAGGAAGGACAUCACCCACAGAAGAAGCACCGGCUAACUCCGUGCCAGCAGCCGCGGUAAUACGGAGGGUGCGAGCGUUAAUCGGAAUUACUGGGCGUAAAGCGCGCGUAGGCGGUCUGAUAAGCCGGUUGUGAAAGCCCCGGGCUCAACCUGGGAACGGCAUCCGGAACUGUCAGGCUAGAGUGCAGGAGAGGAAGGUAGAAUUCCCGGUGUAGCGGUGAAAUGCGUAGAGAUCGGGAGGAAUACCAGUGGCGAAGGCGGCCUUCUGGACUGACACUGACGCUGAGGUGCGAAAGCGUGGGUAGCAAACAGGAUUAGAUACCCCUGUAGUC